AUUGAACGCUGGCGGCAUGCCUUACACAUGCAAAUCGAACGGUAACGGGCCUUCGGGUGCCGACGAGUGGCGAACGGGUGAGUAAUACAUCGGAACGUGCCCGAUCGUGGGGGAUAACGAGGCGAAAGCUUUGCUAAUACCGCAUACGAUCUACGGAUGAAAGCAGGGGACCGCAAGGCCUUGCGCGGACGGAGCGGCCGAUGGCAGAUUAGGUAGUUGGUGGGAUAAAAGCUUACCAAGCCGACGAUCUGUAGCUGGUCUGAGAGGAUGAUCAGCCACACUGGGACUGAGACACGGCCCAGACUCCUACGGGAGGCAGCAGUGGGGAAUUUUGGACAAUGGACGCAAGCCUGAUCCAGCCAUGCCGCGUGCAGGAUGAAGGCCUUCGGGUUGUAAACUGAUUUUGUACGGAACGAAAAGCCUUCUUUUAAUACAGGAGGGUCAUGACGGUACCGUAAGAAUAAGCACCGGCUAACUACGUG
rnacentral:rRNA from 1 species